UACGAAGGGGGCUAGCGUUGCUCGGAAUCACUGGGCGUAAAGCGCACGUAGGCGGACUCUUAAGUCGGGGGUGAAAUCCUGGAGCUCAACUCCAGAACUGCCUUCGAUACUGAGAGCCUUGAGUCCGGGAGAGGUGAGUGGAACUGCGAGUGUAGAGGUGAAAUUCGUAGAUAUUCGCAAGAACACCAGUGGCGAAGGCGGCUCACUGGCCCGGUACUGACGCUGAGGUGCGAAAGCGUGGGGAGCAAACAGG
rnacentral:rRNA from 1 species